rnacentral:rRNA from 1 species
AGGACGAACGCUGGCGGCGUGCUUAACACAUGCAAGUCGAGCGAGAGCCAGUUGAGGGGUAACCCUCGACUGGGGACAGCGGCGAACGGGUGCGUAACACGUGGGCAACCUGCCCCUGACACUGGGAUAACCCCGGGAAACCGGAGCUAAUACCGGAUACUCUCGGCCGAUCACAUGGCUGGCCGAGGAAAGGUCCGCCGGUCAGGGAUGGGCCCGCGGCCUAUCAGAUUGUUGGUGGGGUAACGGCCUACCAAGGCGACGACGGGUAGCUGGUCUGAGAGGACGACCAGCCACACUGGAACUGAGAUACGGUCCAGACUCCUACGGGAGGCAGCAGUGGGGAAUAUUGCACAAUGGGCGAAAGCCUGAUGCAGCGACGCCGCGUGAGGGAUGAAGGCCUUCGGGUCGUAAACCUCUUUCGGCAGGGACGAAGCGAUCAGUGACGGUACCUGCAGAGAAGCCCGGCUAACUACGUGCCAGCAGCCGC